GACCACGUGUCCCGUCGGCGCGGUCGCCGUCGCGCUCGUCAGCCGUCUCGGGGUGUUAGUUACCGGCACGUCGGCCGGACGUAUUGUCGGCAGGCGGACACGUGUCUCGUGCUUCCGGCGCGCCGCGCGGCCACGCGUCGCGCGGCCGUCGGUGUUCGACGACGGCGGCCGCCUACUCCAAUCUUGCUGCGCGGUGCUCUUCACCGAGUGCCGUCGGCGGGCCGACACGUUUACUUUGAACAAAUUAGAGUGCUCAAAGCAGGCUCGAAUCUGGCGGGGCGGCUUCACGGCCGUCUCGUCAAAAGGCCCUGAAUACUGGUCGCAUGGAAUAAUGGAACAAGACCUCGGUCCCGCGCAUCUCCGCCCUUCGCGGGCGCGCGAAAUCGCCCUCCGGGGCGUUUCCGUGCGCGGGCCGCCGGGCCGCGGGCGCCAGUCGCCCGCGCGUCCCGCCGGGCCGGUUUUCGGGACCGGAGGUAAUGAUCAACAGAGACGGGCGGGGGCAUUCGUACCGAGACGUUAGAGGUGAAAUUCUUGGAUCGUCUCGAGACGAACUGACGCGAAAGCAUUUGCCAAGUACGUUCUCGUAUGAUCAAGAACGAAAGUUAGAGGUUCGAAGGCGAUCAGAUACCUGCCCUAGUUCUAACUGUAAACGAUGCCAGCUAGCGAUCCGCCGGCGUUUCAUUAACGACCCGGCGGGCAGCUUCCGGGAAACCGAAGCUUUUCGGUUCCGGGGGAAGUAUGAUUGCAAAGUUGAAACUUAAAGGAAUUGACGGAAGGGCACCACCAGGAGUGGAGCCUGCGGCUUAAUUUGACUCAACACGGGAAACCUCACCAGGCCCGGACACCGGAAAGAUUGACAGAUUGAGAGCUCUUUCUUGAUUCGGUGGGUGGUGGUGCAUGGCCGUUCUUAGUUGGUGGAGCGAUCUGUCUGGUUAAUUCCGAUAACGAACGAGACUCUGUCCUGCUAACUAGGCGGGUAAACCCGGGUCGGCGUGUGCGCGGCGCUGGCGGUUUCGGCCGUCAGUGUUCGCGUACCCGUCGGCUCGGCCCGGUAUCCCCGAACGCGUUCGCCCGUCGUCCACGGCGGUCGUCGGGCGCGGCCGCGCCAUCCGCGUCCCGGCGUUCGGCGGGCGUAUGUCGGCCGGGGGGCAACCUCCGGUCGGCCUGCGUCCGUCGUGCGUCGGGCUCCGUGGUGAAGCGCGCCGUGUUCGCGGCCGUCGCCGGCGGAUCACGAUACGUUACUAGGGCUACCGCCGGCUCCCAGGAGCUUAAACUCUUCUUAGAGGGACAGGCGGCGGACGAUAUAGCUCGCACGAGACUGAGCGAUAACAGGUCUGUGAUGCUCUUAGAUGUUCUGGGCCGCACGCGCGCUACACUGAAGGAAUCAGCGUGUUUAACAAUCCUGGG
rnacentral:ncRNA from 1 species